UACAUGGGGUGCAAACGUUGCUCGGAAUCAUUGGGCGUAAAGCGCGUGUAGGCGGUUACCUAAGUCGGAUGUGAAAGCCCUCGGCUUAACUGAGGAAGUGCAUCCGAAACUGAGUAGCUAGAGUACGAAAGAGGGUCGCGGAAUUCCCGGUGUAGAGGUGAAAUUCGUAGAUAUCGGGAGGAACACCGGUGGCGAAGGCGGCGACCUGGGUCGAGACUGACGCUGAGACGCGAAAGCGUGGGGAGCAAACAGG
rnacentral:rRNA from 1 species